UUACGGGCUGCACCAGUGAGGAAUAUUGCACAAUGGGGGGAACCCUGAUGCAGCAACGCCGCGUGGAGGAUGACGCAUUUCGGUGUGUAAACUCCUUUUAUAUGUCAAGAAAAUGACGGUAGCAUAUGAAUAAGCACCGGCUAACUCCGUGCCAGCAGCCGCGGUAAUACGAAGGGUGCAAGCGUUACUCGGAAUCACUGGGCGUAAAGGACGCGUAGGCGGGUUGGAAAGUCAGGUGUGAAAUCCUACAGCUUAACUGUAGAACUGCACUUGAAACUUCUAAUCUAGAGUAUGGGAGGGGGAGAUGGAAUUAGUGGUGUAGGGGUAAAAUCCGUAGAUAUCACUAGGAAUACCUAAAGCGAAGGCGAUCUCCUGGAACAUUACUGACGCUAAGGCGUGAAAGCGUGGGGAGCAAACAGGAUUAGAUACCCCCGUAGUC
rnacentral:rRNA from 1 species